GGUGGUUUGUCGCGUUGUUCGUGAAAUCUCACGGCUUAACUGUGAGCGUGCGGGCGAUACGGGCAGACUAGAGUACUGCGGGGGAGACUGGAAUUCCUGGUGUAGCGGUGGAAUGCGCAGAUAUCAGGAGGAACACCGGUGGCGAAGGCGGGUCUCUGGGCAGUAACUGACGCUGAGGAGCGAAAGCGUGGGGAGCGAACAGGAUUAGAUACCCUGGUAGUCCACGCCGUAAACGGUGGGUACUAGGUGUGGGUUUCCUUCCUUGGGAUCCGUGCCGUAGCUAACGCAUUAAGUACCCCGCCUGGGGAGUACGGCCGCAAGGCUAAAACUCAAAGGAAUUGACGGGGGCCCGCACAAGCGGCGGAGCAUGUGGAUUAAUUCGAUGCAACGCGAAGAACCUUACCUGGGUUUGACAUGCACAGGACGCGUCUAGAGAUAGGCGUUCCCUUGUGGCCUGCGUGCAGGUGGUGCAUGGCUGUCGUCAGCUCGUGUCGUGAGAUGUUGGGUUAAGUCCCCGCAACGAGCGCAACCCCUGUCUCAUGUUGCCAGCGGGUAAUGCCGGGGACUCGUGAGAGACUGCCGGGGUCAACUCGGAGGAAGGUGGGGAUGACGUCAAGUCAUCAUGCCCCUUAUGUCCAGGGCUUCACACAUGCUACAAUGGCCGGUACAAAGGGCUGCGAUGCCGUAAGGUUAAGCGAAUCCUUUUAAAGCCGGUCUCAGUUCGGAUUGGGGUCUGCAACUCGACCCCAUGAAGUCGGAGUCGCUAGUAAUCGCAGAUCAGCAACGCUG
rnacentral:rRNA from 1 species